AGUUCGGAUCGCAGGCUGCAACCCGCCUGCGUGAAGUUGGAAUCGCUAGUAAUCGCGGAUCAGCAUGCCGCGGUGAAUACGUUCCCGGGCCUUGUACACACCGCCCGUCACACCAUGAGAGUCGGGAACACCCGAAGUCCGUAGCCUAACCGCAAGGGGGCGCGGCCGAAGGUGGGUUCGAUAAUUGGGGUGAAGUCGUAACAAGGUAUC
rnacentral:rRNA from 1 species